rnacentral:rRNA from 1 species
ACGGGGUGCAGCAGGCGCGAAACCUUUGCAAUGUGCGCAAGCACGACAAGGUUAAUCCGAGUGUUUCCUGCUAAAGGAAUCUUUUGUUAGUCUUAAAAUCACUAUUGAAUAAGGGGUGGGCAAGUUCUGGUGUCAGCCGCCGCGGUAAAACCAGCACCUCAAGUGGUCAGGAGGAUUAUUGGGCCUAAAGCAUCCGUAGCCUGCUCUGUAAGUUUCCGGUUAAAUUCAUUAGCUCAACUAAUGGCCUGCCGGAAAUACUGUAGAGCUAGGAAGUGGGAGAGGUAGACGGUACUCGGUAGGAAGGGGUAAAAUCCUUUGAUCUAUUGAUGACCACCUGUGGCGAAGGCGGUCUACCAGAACACGUUCGACGGUGAGGGAUGAAAGCUGGGGGAGCAAACCGGAUUAGAUACCCGGGUAGUCCCAGCUGUAAACGAUGCAGACUCGGUGAUGCCCUGGCUUGUGGCCAGUGCAGUGCCGCAGGGAAGCCGUUAAGUUUGCCGCCUGGGAAGUACGUACGCAAGUAUGAAACUUAAAGGAAUUGGCGGGGGAGCACCACAAGGGGUGAAGCCUGCGGUUCAAUUGGAGUCAACGCCAGAAAUCUUACCCGGAGAGACAGCAGAAUGAAGGUCAAGCUGAAGACUUUACCAGACAAGCUGAGAGGUGGUGCAUGGCCGCCGCCAGCUCGUGCCGUGAGAUGUCCUGUUAAGUCAGGUAACGAGCGAGAUCCCUGCCUCUAGUUGCCACCAUUACUCUCAGGAGUAGUGGGGCGAAUUAGCGGGAC